rnacentral:rRNA from 1 species
ACGGAGGGUGCAAGCGUUGUUCGGAUUCACUGGGUAUAAAGGGUGCGUAGGCGGCUCGAUAAGUCAGGGGUGAAAUAUUUCGGCUCAACCGUCAAACUGCCUCUGAAACUGCCGCGCUUGAGGUCGGAAGAGGAAGGUGGAAUGCCUGGUGUAGCGGUGAAAUGCGUAAAUAUGUGGAGGAACACCGAUGGCGAAGGCAGCCUUCUGGGACGAAUCUGACGCUGAGGCACGAAAGCGUGGGGAGCAAACGG